rnacentral:rRNA from 1 species
AUAAUGGGUCAGCGACUUAUAUUCUGUAGCAAGGUUAACCGAAUAGGGGAGCCGAAGGGAAACCGAGUCUUAACUGGGCGUUAAGUUGCAGGGUAUAGACCCGAAACCCGGUGAUCUAGCCAUGGGCAGGUUGAAGGUUGGGUAACACUAACUGGAGGACCGAACCGACUAAUGUUGAAAAAUUAGCGGAUGACUUGUGGCUGGGGGUGAAAGGCCAAUCAAACCGGGAGAUAGCUGGUUCUCCCCGAAAGCUAUUUAGGUAGCGCCUCGUGAAUUCAUCUCCGGGGGUAGAGCACUGUUUCGGCAAGGGGGUCAUCCCGACUUACCAACCCGAUGCAAACUGCGAAUACCGGAGAAUGUUAUCACGGGAGACACACGGCGGGUGCUAACGUCCGUCGUGAAGAGGGAAACAACCCAGACCGCCAGCUAAGGUCCCAAAGUCAUGGUUAAGUGGGAAACGAUGUGGGAAGGCCCAGACAGCCAGGAUGUUGGCUUAGAAGCAGCCAUCAUUUAAAGAAAGCGUAAUAGCUCACUGGUCGAGUCGGCCUGCGCGGAAGAUGUAACGGGGCUAAACCAUGCACCGAAGCUGCGGCAGCGACGCUUAUGCGUUGUUGGGUAGGGGAGCGUUCUGUAAGCCUGUGAAGGUGUACUGUGAGGUAUGCUGGAGGUAUCAGAAGUGCGAAUGCUGACAUAAGUAACGAUAAAGCGGGUGAAAAGCCCGCUCGCCGGAAGACCAAGGGUUCCUGUCCAACGUUAAUCGGGGCAGGGUGAGUCGACCCCUAAGGCGAGGCCGAAAGGCGUAGUCGAUGGGAAACAGGUUAAUAUUCCUGUACUUGGUGUUACUGCGAAGGGGGGACGGAGAAGGCUAUGUUGGCCGGGCGACGGUUGUCCCGGUUUAAGCGUGUAGGCUGGUUUUCCAGGCAAAUCCGGAAAAUCAAGGCUGAGGCGUGAUGACGAGGCACUACGGUGCUGAAGCAACAAAUGCCCUGCUUCCAGGAAAAGCCUCUAAGCAUCAGGUAACAUCAAAUCGUACCCCAAACCGACACAGGUGGUCAGGUAGAGAAUACCAAGGCGCUUGAGAGAACUCGGGUGAAGGAACUAGGCAAAAUGGUGCCGUAACUUCGGGAGAAGGCACGCUGAUAUGUAGGUGAAGUCCCUCGCGGAUGGAGCUGAAAUCAGUCGAAGAUACCAGCUGGCUGCAACUGUUUAUUAAAAACACAGCACUGUGCAAACACGAAAGUGGACGUAUACGGUGUGACGCCUGCCCGGUGCCGGAAGGUUAAUUGAUGGGGUUAGCGCAAGCGAAGCUCUUGAUCGAAGCCCCGGUAAACGGCGGCCGUAACUAUAACGGUCCUAAGGUAGCGAAAUUCCUUGUCGGGUAAGUUCCGACCUGCACGAAUGGCGUAAUGAUGGCCAGGCUGUCUCCACCCGAGACUCAGUGAAAUUGAACUCGCUGUGAAGAUGCAGUGUACCCGCGGCAAGACGGAAAGACCCCGUGAACCUUUACUAUAGCUUGACACUGAACAUUGAGCCUUGAUGUGUAGGAUAGGUGGGAGGCUUUGAAGUGUGGACGCCAGUCUGCAUGGAGCCGACCUUGAAAUACCACCCUUUAAUGUUUGAUGUUCUAACGUUGACCCGUAAUCCGGGUUGCGGACAGUGUCUGGUGGGUAGUUUGACUGGGGCGGUCUCCUCCUAAAGAGUAACGGAGGAGCACGAAGGUUGGCUAAUCCUGGUCGGACAUCAGGAGGUUAGUGCAAUGGCAUAAGCCAGCUUGACUGCGAGCGUGACGGCGCGAGCAGGUGCGAAAGCAGGUCAUAGUGAUCCGGUGGUUCUGAAUGGAAGGGCCAUCGCUCAACGGAUAAAAGGUACUCCGGGGAUAACAGGCUGAUACCGCCCAAGAGUUCAUAUCGACGGCGGUGUUUGGCACCUCGAUGUCGGCUCAUCACAUCCUGGGGCUGAAGUAGGUCCCAAGGGUAUGGCUGUUCGCCAUUUAAAGUGGUACGCGAGCUGGGUUUAGAACGUCGUGAGACAGUUCGGUCCCUA